ensembl:lncRNA
CUGGACACUGGGAGUGGUCCCCUUCAAAGUAAAAGUUGUGCCUUACCGUUUACACCAACAUCUUCCAAAAACCACAACUUUUACUCUGAAGACCAAGACUAUCCAUUUGUGUUUACAUUGGACUCUUCACAGUUUCAGUACCACUUUUCGAACAGUUUUCAGGUGUUGGCAAUAUGUUACACACUGUAUACCUCUCUGUAGCCGAUUUCACCUCACAACUAGCAACAGCCUCUAGCAACCACUCGCCUACUGAUUAAGAAAUACCCAUUUUUCCCUAGUGACCAAUUAUUACCAACAAGCCACUGACUGGUCUCUUGUCAGCAGCCUAUAGAAACCUUAACAAUCAAUGGUUGCUGGAGUGACCAGUGGUUGCCAGGCUCCUGCCAACCAGUCUCUUGACUUGUAUGACUGGACCCUUAAUGGUUGAAGUGGAAAGGGAGGAGCCGGUGAACAAUUUUCCACCAGUAGGAGCAGGCUAAAUAGUCGCUGCGCACUAUUUAGCAAAAAGCAACCUGUUUUUUUUAGGCAGUGGAUCUGCAUUCGUAGCUUGGGUUGUUUUAGUGUAGGCAAAACUAGUUUUAGGUCAGUGAUUUGUAACUUGUAAUGCUGCAAGUAUUGCGACAGUUCGAGCUACCUGCUACUAUAGUAGUUCUCUGAGUGAACAGCUUGCCAUGUUCAAGUUGAAAUGACAGUACCCUGUCAAAUGUCACACCCUACACAAGUAGGUACUUGGUUUACUACAUCAAAAUUAAUAUUCAUAAGUAUCAGAAAAUGAGACGCACCUCUGAACUCACAAAGUGAUUCUCAACAGCAGCUUCUUAAAAUCUCAGGUCCAAAUAGUCCAAUCUUUGAUUAUAUUCAGAGUGGAUCUCUGAAUGUGAUGAUGACCAGCAUGUCUGUUACUAUAUUUUCACAUUUCAAAAUCACUUGCAGCUUCACUAACUAGGCAAGAAAGUUAUCACUAAUACUAUAAAAUGUUAGUGUUUUUCUUCACUCAAAAAGGGCUGGUACAUCAUUCAUUAUUUAAUAUGUGAGGAAGAGAACCACCCACCUUGUAGUUUUGUUAACAAAAAGUACAUAUAUAGAUGUACAAAAACCGAAGCAAAGCCAAUACUGUCUUAAAAAAUUCACCUUCAAAGACACAUUUCAUUAUAUUAACAUUAGUACAGUAAUAAUAAUAAGAGAACUACAUUUGAAACAACCAUUAAUAGAGCUGAAAUCCUUAUGGUGCACCUGCAGAAAUGUUUUUUUUUUAACUUCAGAAAUGCAAUGACUGAGUACAGAUAGUGACAACAAGCUUAAAGUAAUGCAGUGUAAUAUAACAGUAAAUCCUAUAUUAUAUACAGCCACAUUUCUGUACUUAUCUCUGUAGUUUGGGGGGAGAAAAUAAUAUUACUACUAGCAUUACAGACAACAUUGUCCAAAAUCAGCACCUCUCUGAAAGAAGAGCACUUUCAGCUUUAGCAGCCAGGUGCGCAUAUGAAUAAAUACUCUAGGUUAAUAUGAACAAUCAGUCUAGCAUUUUUUUAAAUGCUUUUCAAGCACCAAGAACAGCUGACAAUCAAAAGUUCAACAUUAAUUUUUCUUUAAACCUUAUGCUUCUUAUUCACUUGGUUUAUGUCUAUGUUUGUGAGGCUCUUCUCCUCUACAUACUAAGAAAUCAAGCAGAGAGAAGAGCAUAACUUUUGGGCAUAUCCCUAUAAGUGUGUCAUGGAGCCACCUGAAAUUCCGUCACCCGCGCAGAUUAAAAAAAUCAAAGGUUGUAUUUUAUUCCACACACUGACGCAAACAUUUGGGGAGUAACUUCCACCCAAAUAGCUUAGAAAAAUAUGCAUAAUCCUAAAGCCAUAAAUAUAAUUUGUUGAGCUUCUUUGUCCUUCGUCAACCAUGGAUCGUUCCUCGAUGUGCGAUUGUAGAGUUUGCUCAGACUGCUUGAAACAUUUGCUCAAUAGGUUCAUAUUUUCUCUCUCAAAUGCAUUUACUUUUGUGAGCGUGAUAUCGGGACACUUUGGAAAAAUGUGGAAAGCACCUUUGGAAAACCAUGAGAUUACUUAUUAGUGUUACACAUUGUACCCCUAACAAGACUGCUGUAUGCUGCCUGACCAAGACAAAUUUCAGUAUUUUGCAUUGAUGACAACGUGCACUUGCCGUGGGCUUGUUUCUGUAAGGUUAGGGAAUACCCCAGCAUUUAUUUCCAUCCAGAGUUCUAUUAGGAUUUUCCAAAGGUUUCAUCAUUGAUGAUGGGAGAGUCAGACUGCUGUAUAAAACCUUCUUCAGCAAAGAUUCUCAGUGUGGAUAAAGCGCUCUCCAGUCUGCCGUACCCCUCGAACUUCCCAUUCCCAUUAUUGGGAAAAACCUAGUAAUUCAGCGCCUCACCCAUGCUCGAGGUUUCUUCCUGUUAAAUAAAAUGAGUUUUUCCUUCCAAGUGGCCAAGUGCUUGCCCUCUGUAUUAUUUUAGGCUCUUUACCUUACCUUACCUCAAGCAACUCGAGGCCACCAAUGUUGUGAUUUCGCAAUAUAUAAAUAAAAUGGAAGUUAAUUGACUUCAGUAGCUUCAGGUUGUCAGCUGACCUUUUUCUUGGGGCACGUAAUGUUCUCGAACCUAAACCUGACCAACUGAAGCAACUUCAGGUCAUAACGCUGAUCCCACAGGAUGUUGUGUGGUAGGCAUUUCACCUGCCUGUUCUUCCCCAAAUAUUCCCAUCAAUCUGAUGACCUUUUUCCAUUGCUCCAGAGUCUGAUCUUCAUGCUCCCUAGCAAAUAUAAACCUCAUUUAAGCCACGUUUUCUUAAAGCAACGUAGCUUCCAUUGAGCUCUCAGUGUGCACUUAGAAAUAUUUACCUUCACUGUUAAACAUAUCCUUGAUUUCUGCUGUUGAUCUGUUUUAGUAGUUUCACCAUGUAGGCCAAUAAUUUGACCGUUCUGAAAUGGACUAAUGGCUUUUCCACAACCGCAGAAUAUCUUCAAACAUGGUUGCUUGAGAACUGCAUUGGUUAGUGUUGGAUAAUCUGUUAGCAAAAACAUAUUCAUUACUGCAGUAAUAGGCUUUUAUGUGUUUCCUUAGUUACAUUCAGAUGUGACUUGUUUUGGCCAGACAGUGUAUUAUAUGUUGUAACAUCAUAAAUUGCUGUUAGCUUUCAGAAGUUACUCAACACUUCUGCAGUCCCAUUUCUCUCAUAUGACAAUCGUACAGCCCUUUGUUUUGUUUUUUUAAGGUCAAAGUGGAUCUCAGCACUUGUUGUUUGGUUUACUGGAGAACCUCAGUGAAGGAUUUCCAAUGGUGCUCACAGUUUUCCAUUGUCUUGUUCUCAUCUAGUAUGGUGGAGUAUAAUAGAAGUAUCACACUUGUGUCUAGAAAUAACUCAUGAAAUGUGUUAGCCAUGAGGAUUCAAGGCUGGAAGAAAAAAAUAUUUUUAGAAAUGUGUUUUACCAGUGUUUGCUUCUGAUUUGGCUCAACGCAAAAGCCAUUUUAACUUUAAGGCCAGUCUGUAACUUUUAACGUGCCUGUCAAAAGUGAAGAGCUGCACAGUGACUUCUCUUUAGGCUGAAAUAGAUUUGUUUGUUUGUUUGUUUGUUUGUUUCAGGCAAGUAUUAUCAGGUGAUUAUUUCCUAACACUUUCCCUUCUAGUUGUUAAGAGUAUUUGGUGAACAUUGCUGAGGAUUUGCAGCAGCAUUAUGACUCACUGACUGAAAAUAAAAGUACCGUCCAUGCGGGUGAAUAGCAGCUGCAAAGUGGGAAGGAUCGUGUCAGAUGUCUGCUAAUGUGAUUGAUUGGUGCAGAGAAUUCGGUUGCCAAAAGAAGCACAAACAGAGUGGUAGCACUUCAGCCUGUAUUUGAGUUAUUUUAGUUUUGUUUAGCCUGUGGAGUCAAAACGUAUUACGUAUUCUGUGUUAUCAGGCCUGCUGUUAAUUUUGUACUUAGGAUUUUUUUUCCCCAUUGAUUUUUUUUUUUUAAUCAGCUUUUGUGUAAUCUUAUUUAGUUAGAAACAGCUGUGUGUUUCUGUGUUAAACACACAUCUUUUGAGUGUAAAGGCAAUCUCUGAGGUCUUUUUUUACUAAUUCAACACUGGUGACUAACAUUAUUCUUGGAGACUUAUAGGAAAAGUUUCACAGUUUUGGAGGAAUGUGGUUAUUAGCCCUUUUUUUGGCGGAAAUUAAUUGCAGACUGAUGACCUGUCUGGGCAGUUACAGGGAUAAGGACUAGAAACAGAGGAAAACCCUGACACAAUGCUCCCAAUAGUCCAGGCCUGGGACCACCACACACACACACACAGAUCUUUUUUUGCAUUUAAUGCAAAAUAUAGUAAUCACUAUACUACGGAGCAGCGAACAUGAGAUGUCAGAAUAUGAGAACAGAUUCUCUUCUAAACUGUGAAAUGUUUUCUUCACACUUCUGUGUAACGAACAGGAUAUCGUGUCCAGACUUGAGUUGAGUUUUGCUGUUUUCACAAAAAAACAUUUCAGCCAUCUUUUUUUUUUUACUUGUCACAUCUGAGAGAACAUUAUGCAUUUACGUUAUUCAAGUCGUUUUUGCUCAGUUUUUAACUACAGUCAUUAUGUCUUUGGCUCCAGCACCUUCAAACCGUGUACCUGCACAAUGCAACCAGUACAUCUACUAGAUGUACUGGUUGCAUUGUGCUCUCUGUGUAGACACUCAGUUAGCUUUGGCUUGCUGAUAACUGCUGGCUGCAGCUCAACUUCAUUGUGUCGGCGCCACAGUGUCAAAAAAGCAAAUAAGCACGUUUCGUCCGUUAACUGUCCCUUUAGGUCUACCAGUGCAACAAGCCUAACCUGCCCCUCUGCGACAAAUCUAAACACAUUUUUGACAGUUUAGAGUGAGCUUGCAGACUGUGCUACAGGUAAGCCAUAUGCUACUUGUAUUUAAUAUACAGGAAAACUCAUAUUUAUGGUAAGCAAAUGACUGAGUAUUUCAUUCUUGCCUAUGCUGGAUUUUCAACCAUUUGCCCAGCAUUUCUACCUCCAUCACUCAGGCACACAACAAAGGUGUUUUGUGUCCGUUUGCUUGACCCUAAGGUGUUGAAAUUCUCAAAAACAGAUCAGUAACGUGGGAACCCAGUGGUUCCCUGUCACAAAACACUUCAUUCAUCAGUACUUUUAUAGCUGUACCCUGCCCCCAUGGCUAUGCUGUAAUUGCUUCUUCAACUGUGAUUGUUUUUUUGUUUUCUUUUGUUAAGGGUUCGUGCACUGUUUGACAGUCUCUUACUGUAUUUUUUGAUGAUCUGAACAGCAGAAAAUACAUUUAAAGGUGCUAUGUGUAGUAUUGAGUUAUUGAAGAAGGUGUAGUACUGUUGAUGAUUUUGUAUUAAGUCCAAGACUAAGUCACUUUUGCUUCUUAAUUAGCAGACUGGUAGCUGAAUAUUCGGAAGCAACAGAGGCAGUGAAGGAGCUCAGUGACUGUAUGUUGUAGCACAUGUUAUUCUAUUAGGCAGUGAAAAUCCUACACAUACUACCUUUAAGUGAGCAAAGUACUCUUUUUCUUAUGGUAAAGACAUAAAGAAAUUUGUCCAGUUGUGAUUUUUUUUCUUCCCUUUUUGGUGUCUUAAACUGAAUUUGUGUUUUUAAGAAAAUAUUUUCAGAAAAAGGUACAGGUAUGAACAUUGCAUAUUUAUGAAUUUAUCAUGUAUUUUAUGCUUUAUUAAAAUGUGUAUACUCAUUGUGGGCAGUGUUUUUAGUAAUGUUUCGAUUUUGUUAAUUUAUUACCUAAAUGUUAAAAUAUUUAACUUUCAAAACAUGACACUUGGUACAAACAUACAGGAUAUUUAAAUAUGAUACUUUGCAUGUGCACUGUGUUCGAUUAAACUGCAUUAAAUUCAAAUAAAAAUGGGUUUGAUGCCCAAAGUGUCUGUUUAUGCUCUGAGUAUUUACUUACUUUUCUUUCUUUGCGUAGAAUAAGGAUCUGUGCAUAUUUUAUGUCAUUUCUUUUACUGAUGUUUAUUUGUAUCUCAAUAGACAAAGAACAGCUAAGUGGUUGAAAAAAUAAGGUUUUCAGAGGAAAGGUGUAUAAUGCUACUGAUGACUGUGCUUGACAUUUCAUUAGGUACACUUUGCCAGUACCCUCUUUUGCCUUCAGAACCGCCCAAAUUCUUUCACGUUAUAGAUUUAAGAAGCUGCUGGAAACAUUCCUCAGAGAUUUUGCAUCCCAAGAAUGCUGUAUUGGAUUGAGAUUUGGUGACUGUUUAGGCUAUUUGACUACAGUAAACUCAUUUCCAUGUUGAA